AACGAACGCUGGCGGCAUGCCUAACACAUGCAAGUCGAACGAAGGCUUCGGCCUUAGUGGCGCACGGGCGCGUAACGCGUGGGAACCUGCCCCUCGGUUCGGAAUAACAGUUAGAAAUGACUGCUAAUACCGGAUGAUGACUUCGGUCCAAAGAUUUAUCGCCGAGGGAUGGGCCCGCGUAGGAUUAGCUAGUUGGUGGGGUAAAGGCCUACCAAGGCGACGAUCCUUAGCUGGUCUGAGAGGAUGAUCAGCCACACUGGGACUGAGACACGGCCCAGACUCCUACGGGAGGCAGCAGUGGGGAAUAUUGGACAAUGGGCGAAAGCCUGAUCCAGCAAUGCCGCGUGAGUGAUGAAGGCCUUAGGGUUGUAAAGCUCUUUUACCAGGGAUGAUAAUGACAGUACCUGGAGAAUAAGCUCCGGCUAACUCCGUG
rnacentral:rRNA from 1 species